UUUUUGACCACUGUUGGAAUAAAAUAUCAUUUAAUGCAUAUAACAGCGUCCGAGCUUCUCGUUAAAAUGGCUAUAUUGUAUAAUAAUAGCGGCAUCGAACACUGCUCUUUGAGGUGUGCUGGUGGAGAAAACAAUGUCACCAUCCUGAAGCUAGCGGCAGCACAUGGGUUGCUGAAUGGACCGGCAAAGUCAAAGCGCUCAGGCAAGUUAUUUUUAAAUUAAUUUUAAUGAAAACUAUAAAAUAUUUAUUUGAUCAUAUACCUGGUUUUAAACAUACAUGGACACCAUACAAAAUGUAUUUAUAUAUCCCUGUAUUUUCUUUGUUUUGUUUUGAAAACGAUUUAUAUAAUUAAUAAUCGGAUGCUAUCCUCAUCAGGAAGUGGUGCUGAAAAUGUUAAAUGUAAGGAUUCUUGUUUCAGGUUAUGUUUAAUGUGCAAAUGAGGUCAGUACACUCAGAUAAGACAAUGCACCAAUAUGCACUGCUUUCUUUUCCAACAGAACCUGCUCAGACGUCAUAUCUUUGAAAGACUGCAAACCAAGUUUCAGUAUGUCAUCAGUCAUCCUGACUUGGACCUUGACUAUCUAAAUUUCAUGUGCACCCAUGAAUUGAUACUUGCUGACGCAUUAGCAGACCAGCUAGAGUUGCCAUCACAUAUAGUACAUGGCUUAAGAGAACUGUGCUGUCUGGUUAGACAGAACAUAGAAAAUGAGCAAGUAAUUCCAUCAGUUGAAAUUCAGGCCGUGCAAGGUGUGAGAGGGCGACCCAAAUUUAUCAUUGAACCGGAAAAAUUACUAGCUUUGAUAGAUUCCCAGUUACCCAUUCCAUGUAUAGCAAAACUGCUGGGUGUCAGUCAGGCUACAGUAUUCCGCCGAAUGGCAGAAUUUGGAAUUUCCGUUGGAGGGUCUUACAGUGCAAUUUCUGAUCAAGAGCUUGACACUUUAGUCUGAAAUAAAAGCUGAUAUGCCUCACAUUGGCUAUAGGCUAGUCAUGGGCAGACUGAGAUCCUUAGGCCAUAGGAUGCAGUGGAACAGAGUCAAGGCAGCUAUGCACAGAGUAGAUGCUGUGGGGAUUCUUGCUCGUUUGACACAGUUAGGCUGUGUUAGGAGAACCUACUCUGUCAGGGCACCCCUUUCUCUUGUACAUGUGGACACUAACCACAAACUCAUAAGGUAAGUUUUUUUUUCAGAAUUAAGGUGUUAAUUGAAACAUCUGUAGCAAACACAUCUCAGUUCUACUUUCUCUUAAAACAGGUACAACAUAGUCAUUUUUGGGGGCAUUGAUGGCUUUUCCAGAAAGAUCCUGUACCUGGAACCCGCCAACAACAACAAGGCAUCUACUGGGUUCUCCUUCUUCUUAACAGCUUGUGAGAGGAAUGGUUUGCCCUCAAGGGUCAGAAGUGAUCAAGGUGUGGAGAAUGUCGAUAUUGCCCGUUUCAUGUUUACUGUUCGAGGAACUGACCACGGCAGUUUCAUUUCUGGAAAAAGCGUCCACAAUCAGAGAAUCGAAUGACUAUGGCGUGACGUGUGGAUCGCAGUAACUAGUACAUAUUACGAUGUACUGCACAGCCUCGAAGAAGAGGGACUACUGGACAUCUCAAACACGCUGCACAUCUUCCUGGUGCAUUAUGUGUUCCUUCCCCGUCUCCACCGUGACCUUUGCACCUUUGCUGAGGGAUGGAACCAUCACCCACUCCGCACAGAGAGAAGCAUGACCCCUCAACAGUUGUGGCAUUUGGGCCUGCUGCAGAACAGCAUAGAUGAGGCUGAGAAUGUUGAGGAUCUGCAAGAACUUGACAUAGACUGGGAGAGUGCCCUUCACUGUGAUGAGUUCCUUCAAGAAUCAGGAGUUGUUGUUCCAGAAUUUCCUACACCCCUAACUGAGCAAGAUAUAAGACAACUUCAAGAAGUUGUGGACCCUACAGGCCAAUCUGACUCCCAUUGUCAUGACAUUUACUGUCGUUGUCUUCAAAUUUUUCAGUGAACAACUAUCAUGUUGGUAAGACGAUACAUCAACUACUGUGACAUACAUUCAGAUGCAUGAAGAGUCAAAGUGAAUGUAAUUUAAUUAAACUGUGAUUAGAAUGCAUCACAAGUUAACAAUGGUCUGCCAAACAAAAAAAAGCAAUGAACAGGACCUGUGUCUCUUCUUGCUUGGCACAAAAGAAGUUGCCCUGUGGAGUGUGUUAUUGGAAAAAUAAUAUUUGGAAUUAUUUUCCUGAUCACAGCUUAUCUCUUGGAAUUCCUCCAUCUCCAGUGCAGAGUUCUGCAAUCUGAAGAAAACCAAACAGAAACACAGUCAUCUAAAAUGACUGAAAUGUAUUUUUACUCUUCCAAAAAACUGACUUCCCAUUUUUUCAUAAUCAGCUGUAAUAGAUAACAAUUAAACUUUAGUGCAUGAAAGGAAAAGGGUUUUCUGCUCUGGGAUUCACUUUUCAUGUUUUGUUGACUGACAGCAUGUAUGCAUCUACACAGCAAACUACAACUAUUUUUUGCUUUUUGAAAAUGAUACAAACUCUGUCAUACUUCAACAACGCUGGUCCUGUUUGUGUCAGUAGUGAGGAAAUAUAUCUGAGUGCAUUGGCCAAAUAGCUAAAAGUAGUUGAAAUAAAUAAGGGUGAAACAAAUAUGUUCGUCAUGCAACAGUUGUAUGCACAAAUGUGUUACACUCUUGCCCCUGCAGGAAUGCCUCUAAAAGGACAACUUUAAAGUUGUCAUAGGCUGCCAUAUGUUGUACAGGAAAGGUGAUGGUGCUCGUGCACGCUUCCACCAAUGGAUAGCAUAUGCUAUGUGCACCAUAGUCCUGCUGGCAGUCAUGGUUGAACUUAAUCUUCACUUUAAAAUGUCUCUUCUCCUACUGCAGGACGGGAACAUGACCUUGGCCUGUUACCCACUGGAGAAAUGCAUGUGGAGACAAUGAUGGACAUUCAGGGUGGUGUAUCCCAGGAUCUGCAUCAUCUAAAAAAGACAGAAUUUUGAGACAAAGUGUAAGAUUUUAAUAUUGUUUUUGAUUUGAAAAAGAUAAGUGUACAAUAAUAUUUCUUUAAAUUAAAAAAAGACAGUUAAAAAGACUGAGUUAAAAUGGCUAUGUUUCUGUAUCAACGAAAUCCAAAGCAUUGUGUCACGAUCUGUGUGUUUUGUCCUGUCUAGUGCUGUUUCCUGUUUUAUUUUGAAGUCCCUGCCCUCUUUGUGUCUCUGUUCACUUGCCCUUCCUGUUGUGGUCACUCUUGUGUCUGAUUGUCUGUCCCCGCCUGGAUUGUUUCCACCUGUGCCAAUUACCCUGUCUAUAUCUAGUCUGUGUCUUCCCUUGUCUUGUACCAGUUCGUCUUGUCAGCGUGUUCCCAACCUCAUGUCUGCCUGCCUGUUCCUUGCCUGUUUCCUGUUUCCUGUUUCCUGUUUCCUGUAUUUUUUGCCCUGCACCUGUUUGAGGUAAGUUUAUUUGGUACUUUGUUUUAUUUGAUACUUUGUUGGUUGUAUUUGUUUGAUUACUGGUUUUUAGUUUGUAUGUUUUUUUCCCCAGUAGUUCUGGUGACUUUUUGUUGUUUAAUAAAUCUUAUUUGCUACUUUAA